AUGCCCCUUGAGACGCAAUUCUGGCUGUUGUGUCUGUGUUGCGCAUUAAGUGGGCAGAAAGAAACUGGCUCACGAUUGCUCAAUUUCCAAGUGGACUUUGGGUAUGGAACCGGGCCAGAUACU